CUUCAACGACCCCAAGAACAGGGGCCGUUCACGAUCCUGCCCGUACGUCGCCAGCAACGCCUGCGCCUC
rnacentral:antisense_RNA from 1 species